GGAGUUGGGGUCCUGCAGGUGUACGAAGCACAUUAGCACACAGCACUGUACAUUGCAGAACAAGAACGUGAACGGAUGCAAAAUGGACCUAAGAAACUUUUUCAAGAAAGAGUCAGGGCAGAGGAGCACAAAAAGUGAGAGGGGAGAGAGCUCUACUGGAAAGGAGAAUCCUUUACGCGCGGCACUUGCGAGAUGAUGGAGAUGCAGAGAUGAGGCUUGCGCGGUUCUCCAUGCUGCCUCUCUUCCUCGUCCUCCUGAUCCUCUCCUCCUGAUGAGGGGACAACAACAAGGCUGCCUGAUGCUAGAUGCCCUUUCCCAACAAGAAUAUGGCAAAGGUGGAGCAAUCGGAGCUGGGCUCCUGACGGGACCGUUAAUCCUUUCAGUGCACCAAAGCGGUUUGGAGACGUUUGGAUGGAAAUCAAGUGUCUGUUUUUGGUGUUGUAUGAAACCGGAGAUUACUUGUUCUCCCUUCAAGACUGCAUUGAGGAGAUUUUUUUUAAAGUACUCUCAGAUCUAAAUGGAAUUAGUUGAGUCUGCAGCCGUUUGUGAAAGGAACAGACAUGGUACAUGGACACAGCUUCCAUUAUGUUGUUGCAAGUCUUCUCCUACUUGGCUUGUCUGGUGCAACAAAGAAAGACUCAGCAGUGACAAACAAUUCUGGGGUGAAGCCAGCUGGUCAGUGUGGAACAUGGGUAAAAGAACCAGAAGGCGGCAUUUUUACUUCUCCCAAUUACCCAAACAAAUACCCCCCAGGCACAGAGUGUGUUUACAUCCUUGAAGCCCCUCCGAGGCAGUGCAUCGAGCUCCACUUUGAGGAGCACUACUCAAUCGAGUCCUCUUGGGAAUGUAAAUUUGACCACAUCGAGGUUCGCGAUGGACCUUUCAGCUUCUCCCCCAUGCUCGGACGCUAUUGCGGUCAGCAAAGCCCGCCGGAUAUCAGGAGUAGCGGGCGUUAUUUGUGGAUAAAAUUUGUUACGGACGGCGAACUUGAGGCGGUAGGAUUUUCGGCCAACUACAACUUCACUGCAGAUCCGGACUUUUCCGAUUUAGGAGUACCACCGCCUCUUCCCUCGUGUCAGUAUGACAUGGUCGGUCCUGAAGGUAUCAUCGAGUCUCAUCAAAUCAUCAGAGACGGGAAGGCGGGUGCCAAUGAGGCCGUCGACUGCAAGUGGUACAUCCAGGCACCGCCGCGCUCCAAGAUCUACCUGCGUUUCCUUGACUACGAAAUGGCCAACUCCAAUGAGUGCAAGCGUAACUUUGUGGCGGUGUACGAUGGCGGCAGUUCGGUGGAGGACCUGAAGAGUAAAUUCUGCUCCACGGUGGCCAAUGACCUCAUGCUGGUGUCCACGCUGGGCGUCAUCCGGAUGUGGGCGGACGAGGCCAGCCGGAAAAGUCGCUUCCGCAUUCUUUUCACCACCUACCAAGAGCCUCCAUGUGAUCCAGAUGCCUUCUUCUGCCACAGUAACAUGUGCAUAAACAACACACUGGUGUGCAACGGCAUGCAGAACUGUGUGUACCCAUGGGAUGAGAAUCAGUGUAAAGAGAAGAGAAAAGCCAACAUCCUGGACAACCUGAACAACACCAACGGGACCAUCAUCGGCGUCACCUGUUGCAUCGUCCUCCUCCUUCUCAUCAUCUCCGUCAUCGUACAAAUCAAACAGCCUCGCAAAAAGUACAUCCUGCGGCGUGAGGACUUUGACCCCACCAUGUUUCAGGAAGUCUUCGAGCCGCCUCACUACGAGCUGUGCGCUCUCCGCGGCGCCACCACCACGGCCGCCGCCGCCUCAGCAGACCUCGUCGACCUGGCGGAAGACUUUGAGAACUACCACGCCCUCCGUCGUGCCUCCUCACGCUGCAUCCACGACCACCACUGUGGCUCUCCCUCCAACCCGGGCUCGGCCCACAUAUCCCAGCUGUCCCUCAGCGGGCGAGGGAGCCGCGGCAACCUGAGCACGCGGGACGCGGCGGCCAGCCUGCUGGCGGACCUCCCGCAGCCUCCAAUGUCCGUGCGGCCCCUACUGCCCUCAGCGGGGAACCGCAGGAGCAUCUUGGUCAUGAAGCACAGCUACUCGCAGGAGGGAGCGGACAACGGCUACGACCUGGACGACGACAUGGAUGAAGUUCCAACCACCAGCCACCGGCUUUCACGCCACGAAAAGGCAGUACAGCGGUUCUGCCUCAUUGGCUCUUUGAGCAAACAUGAAUCAGAGUACAACACAACUAGGGUCUAAGAGACAAUCUCAAGUUGUGACCCCAAGAUGUGGACACUGGAGACAGCAUGCAGACGUCUUGAGAGUGUAGCGCAGUCCCGGAUGAGUGGGAGCGGGGCCUCACUGACACGUGACAAAGUGGAUGAGGGAUGUGCACCAGCAUGAUGCUGAGAGGCCCAAGGACGCUUUGAUGAAACCCAAUUUGAAACCAUGUGUCCAUGUGCAAAGAUGAACACUAAAGGACUUAAGAAGAAAACACUUCGAAGGAAAUCAUCAUACAUUUUUGUUCUUGUCCCCAUGAAAAUGGACCUUCUAAAUUUAGGGUGCUGUUCCUUUAAAGGGGCCCUAUCCUACUCAUGCAACUUUUCAUACAUAUUAAUAAUAUCUUCUAAAUCAGGAGGUUAGCUUAUCCCUGCUGGAGGAUAUUACCCUAAACACAGUUGAUUGAGUAUUGUAUUUAAAAUAAAAUAACCAAAGUGCCCCAUUGAAAAAUAAUAUAAUUUGAAAAGUCUUUAAAAAAGAGCAGGAUAGGAUAGGACCUCUUACCUUCCCAAGACGCUGAUUUGAUGCAACAGUUCACAAAUAAAGCAUGCAUAUAUCCGAAUGGAUGAACAAAUAUAUAUAUAUAUUUAUUUUAUCUUAACAAUUGGAAUAUUACUAACAAUUAUUAUUUAUUAACAAUUCAAGGCCAAGCUGGUGCAUGCUUGUUUGAAUUAACAUCCUUUUCAAUAUGACACUAUCAGAGGCCCCCAUGUACUAAUAAUACAUAAACUGAUUUUAGAAAUGAUUCAUUGCAUGUUAGCUGCAAAAAAUUAUUUGUUAAAACCGACUUUCUUUGGGUUUUUUUUGUUUUUUAUAAGUUUGUGUCCUAAUAAUCACCAAAGUUUAACAUUGUCUUUGUAUCAAACCAGACUUUUAUACUCCGGCAAAAAUAAUACAAUGUCUUUUAAAAGUUAUUCAAACGAUCCUUCAGGGCUGGUUUUAUCGAUGAUUUGUAACAAUAUUAAUAUUAAAUAACAAUAAAGCACCUUUUUUCUUGUUUUUGUUGAAGUGUUUGUGGUAAAAGUGUCAUGUCAUGUACAGGAUGUGUAAACAUGUUCUCAAUGCAAACCAAUGGUAAUUCAGUAAUGCAUGUAAUCCACACUCUUGUUAAAUAUACUCACAAUCAUAGUAGACUU